rnacentral:rRNA from 2 species
AAACCAACCGGGAUUGCCUUAGUAACGGCGAGUGAAGCGGCAAAAGCUCAAAUUUGAAAUCUGGCGUCUUCGACGUCCGAGUUGUAAUUUGAAGAAGGCAACUUUGUAGCUGGUCCUUGUCUAUGUUCCUUGGAACAGGACGUCAUAGAGGGUGAGAAUCCCGUGUGGCGAGGAUCCCAGUUAUUUGUAAAGUGCUUUCGACGAGUCGAGUUGUUUGGGAAUGCAGCUCUAAGUGGGUGGUAAAUUCCAUCUAAAGCUAAAUAUUGGCGAGAGACCGAUAGCGAACAAGUACAGUGAUGGAAAGAUGAAAAGAACUUUGAAAAGAGAGUGAAAAAGUACGUGAAAUUGUUGAAAGGGAAGGGCAUUUGAUCAGACAUGGCGUUUGCUUCGGCUUUCGCUGGGCCAGCAUCAGUUUUAGCGGUUGGAUAAAUCCUCGGGAAUGUGGCUCUGCUUCGGUAGAGUGUUAUAGCCCGUGGGAAUACAGCCAGCUGGGACUGAGGAUUGCGACUUUUGUCAAGGAUGCUGGCGUAAUGGUUAAAUGCCGC